rnacentral:rRNA from 1 species
AGUGAACGCUGGCGGUAGGCCUAACACAUGCAAGUCGAACGGCAGCACAGUAAGAGCUUGCUCUUACGGGUGGCGAGUGGCGGACGGGUGAGGAAUACAUCGGAAUCUACUUUUUCGUGGGGGAUAACGUAGGGAAACUUACGCUAAUACCGCAUACGACCUACGGGUGAAAGCAGGGGAUCUUCGGACCUUGCGCGAUUGAAUGAGCCGAUGUCGGAUUAGCUAGUUGGCGGGGUAAAGGCCCACCAAGGCGACGAUCCGUAGCUGGUCUGAGAGGAUGAUCAGCCACACUGGAACUGAGACACGGUCCAGACUCCUACGAGAGGCAGCAGUGGGGAAUAUUGGACAAUGGGCGCAAGCCUGAUCCAGCCAUACCGCGUGGGUGAAGAAGGCCUUCGGGUUGUAAAGCCCCUUUGUUGGGAAAGAAAAGCAGCAGGUUAAUACCCCGCUGUUCUGACGGUACCCAAAGAAUAAGCACCGGCUAACUUCGUG